CGAGAUGGAGGACUGCUGGAGGGUGACCAUCACCUCUGACCUGACUUCUGCGUUCCCAGUGCUCCUGCAGCUCUCCCCCAAAGGGGGCUGAUUAAUGAAGACAUAUUGGAAAGUCCGGAACCUGUCAUGGUAUAAACGGUACAGAAUAAGGGGAUGGAGCACACUUUCAGAUCCUUUCUGGAUGGUGCCAAGCUCAGAGGAGCCCUUGACCAACCGCAUCUAGUUUAGUGUGCCUUGAGCAGGACAGGUGAAGAGGAUGCCAUUCAGGGGUCUCUUCCAACCUGAGUUAUUUUGUGAUUCCAUGACUCUUUCCCUGAGAGUGUUCUCUGAAGUCCCGAAAGGUAGAGGAAGAAGAAAAGA